AAUAAGCGCAGUUGUGAGUUUUAGUGCCCAACUUUGACCAUCCGUAAUAUUUUUAUGAUUAGUAUUUUUAUUGUUAUUAGAUGAAAAUAUAAAUAAUACUUUAUGCGUGACCUAACUUUUUAAAAAAAUUUCAUAAAUUUUUUAAAUAAGACGGCCAAACAUUUGAACACGAAAACUUAUAGCUGCACUUAUA
rfam:Oryza meridionalis cultivar OR44 (W2112) chromosome 3, whole genome shotgun sequence.